GACGAACCGUACGAACGUUAUUCGGAAUUACUGGGCUUAAAGGGUGCGUAGGCUGCGCAGCAAGUUGGGUGUGAAAUCCCUCGGCUUAACCGAGGAACUGCGCCCAAAACUGCUGUGCUCGAGGGAGACAGAGGUGAGCGGAACUUAGGGUGGAGCGGUGAAAUGCGUUGAUAUCCUAAGGAACACCGGUGGCGAAAGCGGCUCACUGGGUCUCUUCUGACGCUGAGGCGCGAAAGCUAGGGGAGCGAACGGGG
rnacentral:rRNA from 1 species